rnacentral:rRNA from 1 species
GUGAGGAAUAUUGGUCAAUGGACGAGAGUCUGAACCAGCCAAGUCGCGUGAAGGAAGACGGUUCUAUGAAUUGUAAACUUCUUUUGUGCAGGAAUAAAGUGGGUUACGUGUAACCUUUUGUAUGUACUGUACGAAUAAGGAUCGGCUAACUCCGUGCCAGCAGCCGCGGUAAUACGGAGGAUCCGAGCGUUAUCCGGAUUUAUUGGGGUUAAAGGGUGCGUAGGUGGAUUGAUAAGUCAGCGGUGAAAGUUUGCAGCUUAACUGUAAAAUUGCCGUUGAAACUGUCGGUCUUGAAUGCAAAUGAAGUAGGCGGAAUGUGUUGUGUAGCGGUGAAAUGCUUAGAUAUAACACAGAACUCCGAUUGGGAAGGCAGCUUACUGGGAUGCAACUGACACUGAUGCACGAAAGCGUGGGUAUCAAACAGGAUUAGAUACCCUAGUAGUCC